CCUACGGGGGGCUGCAGUGGGGAAUAUUGGACAAUGGGGGCAACCCUGAUCCAGCCAUGCCGCGUGUGUGAAGAAGGCCCUCGGGUUGUAAAGCACUUUCAGUGAGGAAGAACGCCUGGUGGUUAAUACCCAUCAGGAAAGACAUCACUCACAGAAGAAGCACCGGCUAACUCCGUGCCAGCAGCCGCGGUAAUACGGAGGGUGCGAGCGUUAAUCGGAAUUACUGGGCGUAAAGCGCGCGUAGGUGGCUUGAUAAGCCGGUUGUGAAAGCCCCGGGCUCAACCUGGGAACGGCAUCCGGAACUGUCAAGCUAGAGUGCAGGAGAGGAAGGUAGAAUUCCCGGUGUAGCGGUGAAAUGCGUAGAGAUAGGGAGGAAUACCAGUGGCGAAGGCGGCCUUCUGGACUGACACUGACACUGAGGUGCGAAAGCGUGGGUAGCAAACAGGAUUAGAUACCCUGGUAGUC
rnacentral:rRNA from 1 species